rnacentral:rRNA from 1 species
GACGAACGCUGGCGGCGUGCUUAACACAUGCAAGUCGAACGGGAAGGGCCUGCUUUUGUGGGGUGCUCGAGUGGCGAACGGGUGAGUAACACGUGGGUAACCUGCCCUUGACUGGGGGAUAACUUUAGGAAACCGGGGCCAAUACCGGAUAGGAGCGCCUGCUGCAUGGGGGGGGUUGGAAAGUUUCGGCGGUUGGGGAUGGACACGCGGCUUAUCAGCUUGUUGGUGGGGUAGUGGCUUACCAAGUCUUUGACGGGUAGCCGGCCUGAGAAGGUGACCGGCCACCAUACUACUACGGUACGGCGCAGCAGCCUACGGGGGGCAGCAGUAGGGAGUAUUGCACAGCAAGGGGAAGCCUGAUGCCGCAGCGCUGCGUCCGGGAUGACGACCUUCGAGGGGUCAACAACUGUCUCCUGUGACGAAGAGGGAGUGACGGUAACUGGUAAAGAAGCACCGGCUAACUACGUG